rnacentral:rRNA from 1 species
AACUCCCAAACCCCUGUGAACAUACCAAUUGUUGCCUCGGCGGAUCAGCCCGCUCCCGGUAAAACGGGACGGCCCGCCAGAGGACCCCUAAACUCUGUUUCUAUAUGUAACUUCUGAGUAAAACCAUAAAUAAAUCAAAACUUUCAACAACGGAUCUCUUGGUUCUGGCAUCGAUGAAGAACGCAGCAAAAUGCGAUAAGUAAUGUGAAUUGCAGAAUUCAGUGAAUCAUCGAAUCUUUGAACGCACAUUGCGCCCGCCAGUAUUCUGGCGGGCAUGCCUGUUCGAGCGUCAUUUCAACCCUCAAGCCCAGCUUGGUGUUGGGACUCGCGAGUCAAAUCGCGUUCCCCAAAUUGAUUGGCGGUCACGUCGAGCUUCCAUAGCGUAGUAGUAAAACCCUCGUUACUGGUAAUCGUCGCGGCCACGCCGUUAAACCCCAACUUCUGAAUGUUGACCUCGGAUCAGGUAGGAAUACCCGCUGAACUUAAGCAUAUCAAUAAGCGGAGGAAAAGAAACCAACAGGGAUUGCCCUAGUAACGGCGAGUGAAGCGGCAACAGCUCAAAUUUGAAAUCUGGCUCUCGGGCCCGAGUUGUAAUUUGUAGAGGAUACUUUUGAUGCGGUGCCUUCCGAGUUCCCUGGAACGGGACGCCAUAGAGGGUGAGAGCCCCGUCUGGUUGGAUGCCAAAUCUCUGUAAAGUUCCUUCGACGAGUCGAGUAGUUUGGGAAUGCUGCUCUAAAUGGGAGGUAUAUGUCUUCUAAAGCUAAAUACCGGCCAGAGACCGAUAGCGCACAAGUAGAGUGAUCGAAAGAUGAAAAGCACUUUGAAAAGAGAGUUAAAAAGUACGUGAAAUUGUUGAAAGGGAAGCGUUUAUGACCAGACUUGGGCUUGGUUGAUCAUCUGGGGUUCUCCCCAGUGCACUCUUCCAGUCCAGGCCAGCAUCAGUUUUCGCCGGGGGAUAAAGACUUCGGGAAUGUGGCUCUCUUCGGGGAGUGUUAUAGCCCGUUGUGUAAUACCCUGG